rnacentral:rRNA from 1 species
GAUGAACGCUGGCGGCGUGCCUAAUACAUGCAAGUCGAGCGAACAGACGAGGAGCUUGCUCCUCUGACGUUAGCGGCGGACGGGUGAGUAACACGUGGAUAACCUACCUAUAAGACUGGGAUAACUUCGGGAAACCGGAGCUAAUACCGGAUAAUAUAUUGAACCGCAUGGUUCAAUAGUGAAGGACGGUUUUGCUGUCACUUAUAGAUGGAUCCGCGCCGCAUUAGCUAGUUGGUAAGGUAACGGCUUACCAAGGCAACGAUGCGUAGCCGACCUGAGAGGGUGAUCGGCCACACUGGAACUGAGACACGGUCCAGACUCCUACGGGAGGCAGCAGUAGGGAAUCUUCCGCAAUGGGCGAAAGCUUGACGGAGCAACGCCGCGUGAGUGAUGAAGGUCUUCGGAUCGUAAAACUCUGUUAUUAGGGAAGAACAAAUGUGUAAGUAACUAUGCACGUCUUGACGGUACCUAAUCAGAAAGCCACGACUAACUA